AUCACAUGAAAUACGUUCUGAGGAAACUAUUUUGCAAAUCGCAAUUACGUUACAUGCCAACAUAUAAGCAGUGCUAUUACGUUGGUCCUUAACCUAAUAUAAGCAGUGCUGUUACGUUGGUCCUUAACCUAAUAUAGCCAAUUUAUUGCAGUGCUAUUACGUUUGUCCUGAACAUAUACAUCCAAAGCAUAGAUUAAAUCGUACUAUACCAUACGAUACUGUUCAUCGCAUUCAAGAAGCGUGACCCGUAGCCAGAAAAAAACCUCUGGGUGUGCAUCAUAAAAUCUGUGUGUGUCACAGGCAAGAAAACCAGAAACGCUGAGGAAUUCAGGUGCUGUAAAUCCGGUGGACAGGACUCAUCUCCUUAUAGAUCAAGAUAAUUUAUAACAGAUAGUUGACAUGGUAAGCAAGUUAAUAUUUUUUAAUAAAAAACGAAAUAAGACGAAUAGCAUACAUUAUUGUUGUUGCGGUGUGUCACGUGACAAUCAUGACCGUCGCCAUGGACACAAGGGGUCGGAUAUUUAGAGUUAAAUAUUUUUAACUUACGCGUGAAAUGGUUGAUUUUAAAAAUAUAUAUAUUUUAAGUAAACAACAACAGCCCAGGUUUAGUAAACAUUUUUUUAUUGAAACUAUAAAUAAAUAUUCUGCAUCCAUUUUAGGUGUGCCACUGUGGGUGGCUCCCGCACACCCGUGGCUACGCCCCUGCCGUGACCCAAAUCUCGUUCGCACAUCAUCGCGAUGUUUAUCAUCUAUUUACAAACGUAGCCAGUCGCCACAUCUUUUUUCUUCACAUACAUCUCAUACUCAAACUACACACUCCACAACAUUUAAACCAAUGGCUCUUUUAAGAGCCAUCACCUGCAAAAGCUCUCCUACUCAGGCACGCACUCACUCUCCAACUCACACACAUGGCACCUGGAUCCAGAACACGCCAUAGUGCUUGCUACAAAGAAAUUGGCAGUGCCUCCAAAAAGAGGCAUUAUUAGCCUAUCCCCUGUAUGUCAUUGAUGCGCUACUUCAAAGAUGUGAGGAAAAGAACAUACACCUGCGAGUAGUCUGUUUGUUACUUUGCCUGUGUUAUUGCCUCACAUUUGCAGAAAUCAGGUGAGGGCAUAUCACACAACAUUGCCUUGGCCGUACCAGCAUUUCAUGUUUAUGGACACAAAUUGCCCUGCCAGAUCAAGUACAGUACCAGAUGGCUUGAUGGGUUUGGGCUCACAGACGGGGAAGGAAUGGAAAGGCUGUGGUCUUUCCUCCAAAGAUUUGCCAGAGUCACAAAGGAGAUGACUCCAUCUCAUCGCCUUGACCUACUGACUGAUGCCCUUUUGCAUUAUGGACGGUGGAAAUCAACUGACCUAGAGGUGCAGCUCCUGCAAAGAGUAGACAAAGCAGAGAAAAUAUUGAUUCUCGCUCCUCAAGAAGAUAUCUCAUGUCAUCAGAGAGGCACCAGUGUUGAUUUCUGAAGGAGACAUGGAGAGAUGGAAAAAGCUAGCCCAACCGAAACCAAUAAACACUGUCUGUAGAUGGAAAAGGGACUACAUCAUCAGACUGAUUCAGUUCUACAAGUUCAAAUAUGGGACUGGUGAGUCACACAAAAAGGGUGAAACAGAGUAAGCAGUAAUCUGUCUGUUACUGUUCUCUGAUCAAGUGUGUACAUAACGUUUAAUACUAAUUAUUUGCUAACCAUUGUAGAAUUGAGGACUCUGCUGAACAUUGAGGAAAAAAUACAGAAUCUGGAGAAGAUGGCAAGAGUCUGAUUCAAACUUCCAGUCUACCCUUAAAGAUGUGCCUAGAACUGAAUCAAGGGAGAGAGCAGUCCUCCUCCACCUGAGAAGAAUAUAUCCAGCUUUGCUUCAGAUGGGCAGGGCAUUGCCAUUAGAUUCUCCAAGCAGGUAGCCAAUUGAUUUUCAGGAAUCAUGUGAUCCCUCUUGGCAUGUCUACUUCUGCUUUAAUAACACUAUUGAAGAAGAUGAUGUUUCGAGGAGUCUAAAAAGGCGAGGGAUUGAUGCCUUACAUAUGAAGACUCGGGCAGCUGAGGAAAAGUGCAUGCUUUACAAG